UGGAAGUUUCAUACUUAGUGUGGC
rnacentral:piRNA from 1 species